GAUGAACGCUGGCGGCGUGCCUAAUACAUGCAAGUCGAGCGAACAGACGAGGAGCUUGCUCCUCUGACGUUAGCGGCGGACGGGUGAGUAACACGUGGAUAACCUACCUAUAAGACUGGGAUAACUUCGGGAAACCGGAGCUAAUACCGGAUAAUAUAUUGAACCGCAUGGUUCAAUAGUGAAAGACGGUUUUGCUGUCACUUAUAGAUGGAUCCGCGCCGCAUUAGCUAGUUGGUAAGUUAACGGCCUACCAAGGCGACGAUGCGUAGGCGACCUGAGAGGGUGAUCGGCCACCCUGGAACUGAGACACGGUCCAGACUCCUACGGGAGGCAGCAGUAGGGAAUCUUCCGCAAUGGGCGAAAGCCUGACGGAGCAACGCCGCGUGAGUGAUGAAGGUCUUCGGAUCGUAAAACUCUGUUAUUAGGUAAGAACAAAUGUGUAAGUAACUAUGCACGUCUUGACGGUACCUAAUCAGAAAGCCACGGCUAACUACGUG
rnacentral:rRNA from 1 species